AGAUGUGAGGGUGAUCUGGCUGUCACCCCAUUGUGAUCUGGUGAUGACAUCUGUCACCACAUUGAUCAUGGGGAUGGACUUGGCUGGUCUGGCUGGCUAGGCAGGUGUCUCCUUCCUCCCUCUCUGCUCCAUGUGUCUGUCCUGCAGCUGCACUUGGUUGAGAAGGACAACCAUCCCUGAUAGAGCAAGAUCAUUUCCUUAGUCAAAGCUAUAGGAGUGGCUGCACUUCCUUGCUAGAACCUCCAAAUAAACUUUCAAGAAAAUCACAAUCCUUGGGCUGUUUUUCUUUUUGUACCAGGUAUCGAACUCAGGACUUUGUGCUUGCCAGGCACGUGGUGGCACCAC
ensembl:misc_RNA 7SK 7SK RNA